UGAAACUAAUCCUGCCUGAAUAGGACUAAAGUCUGGGUUUGAAUAGGACUAAAGUCUGGGUUUGAAUAGGACUAAAGUCUGGGUUUGUAUAGGUACCGUAUUCGUAGUAAAACUAAUCCUGUCUGAAUAGGACUAAAGUCUGGGUUUGAAUAGGACUAAAGUCUGGGUUUGUAUAGGUACCGUAUUCGUAGUAAAACUAAUCCUGUCUGAAUAGGGCUAAAGUCUGGGUUGGUUAUUUAGGUACCGUAUUCGUAGUAAAACUAAUCCUGUCUGAAUAGGGCUAAAGUCUGGGUUGGUUAUUUAGGUACCGUAUUCGUAGUAAAACUAAUCCUGUCUGAAUAGGACUAAAGUCUGGGUUUGAAUAGGACUAAAGUCUGGGUUUGAAUAGGACUAAAGUCUGGGUUUGAAUAGGACAAAAAUCUGGGUUUGUAUAGGUACCGUAUUCGUAGUGAAACUAAUCCUGCCUGAAUAGGACUAAAGUCUGGGUUUGAAUAGGACUAAAGUCUGGGUUUGAAUAGGACUAAAGUCUGGGUUUGAAUAGGACUAAAGUCUGGGUUUGAAUAGGACUAAAGUCUGGGUUUGUAUAGGUACCGUAUUCGUAGUAAAACUAAUCCUGUCUGAAUAGGACUAAAGUCUGGGUUUGUAUAGGUACCGUAUUCGUAGUAAAACUAAUCCUGUCUGAAUAGGGCUAAAGUCUGGGUUGGUUAUUUAGGUACCGUAUUCGUAGUAAAACUAAUCCUGUCUGAAUAGGGCUAAAGUCUGGGUUGGUUAUUUAGGUACCGUAUUCGUAGUAAAACUAAUCCUGUCUGAAUAGGGCUAAAGUCUGGGUUGGUUAUUUAGGUACCGUAUUCGUAGUGAAACUAAUCCUGUCUGAAAAGGACUAAAGUCUGGGUUUGAAUAGGACUAAAGUCUGGGUUUGUAUAGGUACCGUAUUCGUAGUAAAACUAAUCCUGUCUGAAUAGGACUAAAGUCUGGGUUUGAAUAGGACAAAAAUCUGGGUUUGUAUAGGUACCGUAUUCGUAGUAAAACUAAUCCUGCCUGAAUAGGACUAAAGUCUGGGUUUGAAUAGGACUAAAGUCUGGGUUUGUAUAGGUACCGUAUUCGUAGUAAAACUAAUCCUGUCUGAAUAGGACUAAAGUCUGGGUUUGAAUAGGACAAAAAUCUGGGUUUGUAUAGGACUAAAGUCUGGGUUUGAAUAGGACUAAAGUCUGGGUUUGAAUAGGACUAAAGUCUGGGUUUGUAUAGGUACCGUAUUCGUAGUAAAACUAAUCCUGUCUGAAUAGGACUAAAGUCUGGGUUUGAAUAGGACAAAAAUCUGGGUUUGAAUAGGACAAAAAUCUGGGUUUGAAUAGGACUAAAGUCUGGGUUUGAAUAGGACUAAAGUCUGGGUUUGUAUAGGUACCGUUUUCGUAGUAAAACUAAUCCUGUCUGAAUAGGACUAAAGUCUGGGUUUGAAUAGGACUAAAGUCUGGGUUUGUAUAGGUACCGUAUUCGUAGUAAAACUAAUCCUGUCUGAAUAGGACUAAAGUCUGGGUUUGUAUAGGUACCGUAUUCGUAGUAAAACUAAUCCUGUCUGAAUUUGU